UGGGGAAUAUUGGACAAUGGGCGAAAGCCUGAUCCAGCCAUGCCGCGUGUGUGAAGAAGGUCUUCGGAUUGUAAAGCACUUUAAGUUGGGAGGAAGGGCAUUAACCUAAUACGUUAGUGUUUUGACGUUACCGACAGAAUAAGCACCGGCUAACUCUGUGUCAGCAGCCGCGGUAAUACAGAGGGUGCAAGCGUUAAUCGGAAUUACUGGGCGUAAAGCGCGCGUAGGUGGGUUGUUAAGUUGGAUGUGAAAUCCCCGGGCUCAACCUGGGAACUGCAUUCAAAACUGACUGACUAGAGUAUGGUAGAGGGUGGUGGAAUUUCCUGUGUAGCGGUGAAAUGCGUAGAUAUAGGAAGGAACACCAGUGGCGAAGGCGACCACCUGGACUAAUACUGACACUGAGGUGCGAAAGCGUGGGGAGCAAACA
rnacentral:rRNA from 1 species